AGUGAACGCUGGCGGUAGGCCUAACACAUGCAAGUCGAACGGCAGCACAGUAAGAGCUUGCUCUUACGGGUGGCGAGUGGCGGACGGGUGAGGAAUACAUCGGAAUCUACUUUUUCGUGGGGGAUAACGUAGGGAAACUUACGCUAAUACCGCAUACGACCUACGGGUGAAAGCAGGGGAUCUUCGGACCUUUCGCGAUUGAAUGAGCCGAUGUCGGAUUAGCUAGUUGGCGGGGUAAAGUCCCACCAAGGCGACGAUCCGUAGCUGGUCUGAGAGGAUGAUCAGCGACACUGGAACUGAGACACGGUACAGACUCCUACGGGAGGCAGCAGUGGGGAAUAUUGGACAAUGGGCGCAAGCCUGAUCCAGACACACCGCGUGGGUGAAGAAGGACUUCGGGUUGUAAAGCCCUUUUGUUGGGAAAGAAAAGCAGCAGGUUAAUACCCCGCUGUUCUGACGGUACCCAAAGAAUAAGCACCGGCUAACUUCGUG
rnacentral:rRNA from 1 species